GGAUCCACCCCUUCCCAGACCUCAUUUAAGGCUUGGCAGUGGAGGUGAGGGCUUCUCGUUUGGAGAUCCUUGCCCACCUGAGGAUCUUACAGGCCUUCUGAGGGCAGGUAAGCGGCAAGGCCCUGCUGUGACCACACACACUCUUGUGCCUAAGCAGCUCUAGAAACCGAUGUGCUUUUGAUGCUGCCAGUACACAGCCUCCUUGAAAGUUCACACACAAAGCAGAAGGAAGGAGGGCAAUGUGGGGAUGCCUCUGCACUAGCUCCCUGAUGGCAGUUUUUCCUCUGAGCCAGACUGUCCCCAAAUGAAGAAAACCACAAAAAUAAUUGGAUGGGAAUGAGAAACUUGAAAAAACUCCUCAAACUGACCAGUUUUGUUCAGUACCAAAGGAAUUGAGACAUUUCCCAUGGUGCAGAAUAUCUUCAGUUCCCUCUCUUCAAACUCCGAGGAUCUUCAGAUCUGCAUCCCCUCCUUCCUGUAAAAUAUUCCCAGAAGAAUGUUAUUCAGAGAAGGAUCUCCCAGGUCAUCCAUCAAUGCUGUCAGACCUCAAAAUCUACUAGAGUAUGAUGUGAACCCAGUUGAGUGUCCUCAACGAUAUUUUUAUCCAAGCAUUAUUCACUUACUGUUAACUCCUAGCUCCAGUUAAUAUUAAUUCUGACACUAUAAAACAGUGCCAGUAAAAGAGAUGCAGAGGUGCUCAUCCAAAUUCUUCCUUUGCUUCAAGAUUAGUAGAUUCUAUAUAAAAUAUUUUAGUCUGUGCUGGCUUCUUGUUUUUUUUUGUUUUAUUUUUCACUCCAGACAUUAAUCUGUACAUUUUUGUUCAAUUUGUUUUCAUAUCAUUUGGAUAUAGAAGAUGUAUUUUGCUUGGCAUGAAACAACAGUUUUAUUUUUCAUCUGACAACCAUUCUUUGAUGAUUAUUUGAAAAUAGGUGAGGUUAAGAAGAAUAUUCUUAAUAUUGCAGUGAAUACAUAGCAUAAUAUUCUGCAGAAAAGUGACUAUGGCUGAAACUUUGAGGAAGAAAUACUCAGUUGUCAUUUUAAUUUCUUCUUACUAUAUCAAAGUUAUUAGUUUCACAUCGCUGUUAUUUAAUACUAAAUUGGGAAUGUCAUUUUUUUUUUGUUCUUUGUAAAAAUUCACACUGGCAGAAAAAUCCACAUAUGAAAUACCUUAUUUCAUAAAGUUUAAUGGUAAUGUGAAAAUAGCAAAUCUGACAUCAGCUGUUUAUUUGGUAACAUCUGAAAUAGAUCUCAUUUUGAUUUUUUGCAUCAUAGCAAUAACAGUUCCAAGUGAUUUCAGCACAAGUAGUUUGGGACUUUUUGCAUUUGAUCACAGCAAGGAACUGAAUUCUUCCAGAUCUGUUCUGAUAAAUUCCUUUGCUCCAUGAGCAUCAUUCAUGGCUAUAAGGUGUGCUUGAAUCAUCUGCAUAGAUAACUUGCAGAGCUAGGCUCGGGACUUUGCCACGGGCCAGAACUAUGAGCUAUCAAAGAUCAUUCCCUAUUUAUUUUUAUAUAUUUUCUUCUCUUUUUCUAUAUCUUCUGCACAUGAGGGCUCCAAGGACAUAUAAGGUGACUUAUCACCUUGCAAGUACGAAGGAUCAGGAAUCCUGUUCAGUGUUGCAUACUAUGCCUGCUGACAAAGUCUAUAAAGCUUCUACACUCUACGAAGACUUCUAGACUCAACAAGGGGCUACAGAAUGGUGCUGGGGCUGCUUCCUCUGGGGAUCCAGUCAGUCUCAUGACAUAAUAAAUUAAAAAAGCACAGUACUAGACAUAUGUUUCUUAACCAGAUUAGCUUAACAGUGGAGGUUAUUAUUUUAUAAGCUUGGAAAGUUAAAAAAAAAAAAAUGUUGCCUGUACUUUUGUCCACUUUAUGUUGGCAGUUAACCCAGCUGUGUCCACAGUAUGUCACUGAUGCAGAUGAGAUUAGAUUUUGUAUUUUGUUUGAGGGGAUCUGACAGGGUGAAGGUAAGCAAGAUGCUGCCUAUUGGGUCAGUGUGGAGCCUCUGGAGCACCAGGCCUUCUGGCAUCCCCUCAACUCAAACCCCUCCCUUCCUUAGGCGGUGCCAGAAUGCCACUAUCUUGCGGUUGCUUUCCAAACUUUUUACCACAUGCAAAAAUUACAGUAACGAAGGAGACUGAAAGGAUACUAAUUUUUCAGCUAGCUUCUUUUCCCUGUUCCUUUUUUCCUUACAGGAAACUACAUUAGAGUCCCAAAGUAACGGAACAUUAAAAAACCAUCUGGAGAGCUAAAGCAAUUUUAAUAUAAAGAGUUACAGUAGCACUGAUGCAUGACCACAAAGACAGAUAUGAUCCAUUGUAAGUCUGGCAGCGAACUUGCAGUAGUGCUCAGGAACAUAGAAUUUUGGUAUUUUAAAAGAAAUCCCUAGAUAGCUAAAUAAAUACAGGCUGAAAAUGAGAGAAACUAAACUUUAGCUGCAUAGAGUAAGUCUGUAUUUAGCAAGUACUUGUUUUCUGUUAGGAUUAUGCACAAAUACACCUGCAUGUGCUAAAUAAAUGGAAUGAAUGUGAUGGUCAUGAUGUAUGUAUAGAUACGUGUACACACAUUAAAACAUAAAUUGACUUAAUAUUAUAUAUGUUUUUUUUCUAAACCAUAAACAGUUCCUAGUUGUUAUUUUAAUUUUAAUAAUUAAUUCCAUUGCAAAUUUUUGGCUUUUUAUACCUUAAAAAUUCUCCUGUAAGAUUUAAAAUGUGAUAUAAAGAUACAAAACAUUACCGCUCACGGAAACAUGCUGGAUUCAUAUAGACAUUUUCAUUUCAGUUUCUUCACAGAAGAGCAGUAGUCUGUUUAAAGGGAGUUAGAAAUUUUCACUCCUUUUCAUGCCCAAUUAUUUUCCAGACUAUUCAGUGUUGGACACAUGGCAGUGUGUGUUGUGCACCUGGCUGCUCUCAUUCUCUGGUCCUUGUGCAAAGGGAACUUUGGAAGAGAGAUGGACUCUGGCCCCAUUCCUCUGUUCAGCCAAGCCAUGAACCUGGGAGACCAGACUGCACACAACUGCUGUGACUGUGUUAUGCUGCAAAUGCAACCAACCCCAAAUGUUCACGUGACCAUUGUAUCUGCCACGGCGCUGCUCUUCUGGCUUUAUUCCACAAGAUUACUGUGAUGAGUGUUACAACAAGCAGAUUUAAAAUCAAUGAGAAGACCUCCCGUGGAGCUCUUGAGUCCCCAUUCCUUGGGCUAAUAAGACAGUAGUUCAACAUCCUUCAGAAUCAAGACCUAUGUCAGGACGAUUCCUGCCAAAGUCAAUGGAGUUGACUUAGCAGAAUUUUCAGCUCUGCAGUCUCCAGCAUGACACCCAUACAACACAUCUUUUCAUUACCUUGUCAACAGCUGGCACAAAAUGUUAUGAGAGAAUCUCAGCUUCCCCCAAUCCUUGUAUACAAGCGCUCCUCAGCAUCUCUAUAAAAAGUCUCACAACACACUGUAGAAGUUACAGUUUUUUUUUAUAUUAUACCUUAGUAUUUUUACUCAUAUGUUUUCACUUUUAUGAAACAGUUAUUUAGGCUGUACAUAGACACAUAUAUUUAUUUGGAUUUGACAUCUUUUAGCAAUACACCAUGCUAUUGCCAUUGUGAAAUGAACUGAAUAGUUCACCCAGAAUUCAUAAAUCAUUGGAAGUGGCAAAAUGUUCUUCCUUAGCUAUGUAGCAGAUUUUUAUUUUGGCUAGCUUAUUUGAUUUAAUGUGGCAUAGUAUUACUCAUUCCUAGCUGCUAUUCCAAUCAGUAAGAAACAACAAGAACCCUUUGGGACAUUUGGGAGAUAGGAAAGUUAUAAAGCUAUUCAUUGUAGGUAUGUGACUGCAGUGUAGUUUUGCCUUCUAGUCAGUCUGCUGAUUAUUGGGCACGAAGAGUAGAACCCUUGAUGGAAGAAAAGGGAAUGAAACAGGAAUCCAGAGACAGAAGUCAUCAAAAUGGAGGCAAGAGAGCAGGACCUUCUGAGCUGGAUUCUUUGAGGCAGGUUGAAUAAGUGCUCAGGAGUGGACUAGAAAGAAAGCAAAGGGAAUGUAUCCCUUUAUAAACUUUUUCAAAUGGCUUCACAGUGAGGGUAAGAAAAGAAUUUGUUUGUCCAUUGCCAUUUUUCAGUUUAAAGCACUAAACUAUGCAAAAAUCAAGGCAUAAAACUCAGAGAUAAGGCUGCAAUUAUGUCUUUUGUCCACUUUUGUCUUUUGUGCAGAGUACAGUAUGUGAAAUCACUUGCUGUUUGGAGACUUUUGGAUCCUCACUUGUUAUGUUGAGCUACAAAAUAAAUUUUUAACGUGGCCUCUGAAUUUUUCAAGCCUUAGUUUGUAUGAAGUUGCUAACAAAAUGCAGAAUUAUUACUUUUAUCAUUCCAGUUUUUAUAAAUAAAAAUAAAUGUGUGUAGGGAGGAGAAACAAAAAAUGUGAAGAUGUGCAAAAUUAUUGGUAGAUUUUAGAGUGCAUUUCUAGUCAAUUGCUCUAAAUCAGUGAGGCUGAGUGGAAUGGCCUGUUUCUGAGAAAGGCAGUCUUGAUUUCAGGCUUAUUUGUCCCCAGAUCAGAAGAGAACUUUCAGAUUAUCACCAUGAGAAAUAGCUAGUAGUUUUGCUGCCAAGGAUUAUUGCAGAGCCAUAGCCAGAGAGCCUGGAUAAGAAUAAGUCCAAGUCUAUCAGAUUUGGCUCUGAAGGGAAGGACAAUCUGUAGAACACAGCUUAGAAAGGAUCUGGCUAGGAAGAUGACUGCCUGAAGAUGUGCCCUCUAGGAACUCACAGAUCAUGGGAGUGUGGAAGAAUGAUAAGAGGGAACAUGACUAAGGUUUAAAAUGUGUUAAACAAUUUAAAUAAAUGAGAUCUAGACCUUCUUCUUCCCUGAAGAAAAGAAUCCAAAGUAGAAUGGCUGUGAGGUAUGGGAGAGUUUUUACCAAAGUUUUAAAUAUUUGGAAGUGUCUAGAAAAGGAAAAUAAAAAGUAUAAUAAAAAUAACUGUAAUUCCAAAUUCAAUAAAGCAUAUAUUGAAAACUGGCAAA